UGCCGCGUGUGUGAAGAAGGCCUUCGGGUUGUAAAGCACUUUCAGUCGGGAGGAAAGGUUAGUAGUUAAUACCUGCUAGCUGUGACGUUACUGACAGAAGAAGCACCGGCUAACUCCGUGCCAGCAGCCGCGGUAAUACGGAGGGUGCGAGCGUUAAUCGGAAUUACUGGGCGUAAAGCGCACGCAGGCGGUUUGUUAAGYCAGAUGUGAAAGCCCCGGGCUCAACCUGGGAACUGCAUUUCAAACUGGCAAACUAGAGUGYGAUAGAGGGUGGUAGAAUUUCAGGUGUAGCGGUGAAAUGCGUAGAGAUCUGAAGGAAUACCRAUGGCGAAGGCYYCCCCCUGGAUCGAUACUGACYCUCAUGUGCGAAAGCGUGGGGAGCAAACAGGAUUAGAUACCCUGGUAGUCCACGCCGUAAACGAUGUCUACUAGAAGCUCG
rnacentral:rRNA from 1 species